UACGGAGGGUGCGAGCGUUGUCCGGAAUUAUUGGGCGUAAAGGGAGUGUAGGCUGUUCCUUAAGUCUUCUGUGAAAUCUACGGGCUUAGCCUGUAACGUGCAGAGGAAACUGGGGGACUCGAGUGUCGGAGAGGGUAGCGGAAUUCCCGGUGUAGAGGUGGAAUUCGUAGAGAUCGGGAGGAACACCAGUGGCGAAGGCGGCUACCUGGCUGACAACUGACGCUGAGACUCGAAAGCAUGGGGAGCAAACAGG
rnacentral:rRNA from 1 species